rnacentral:rRNA from 1 species
UACGAAGGGGGCUAGCGUUGCUCGGAAUCACUGGGCGUAAAGGGUGCGUAGGCGGGUCUUUAAGUCAGGGGUGAAAUCCUGGAGCUCAACUCCAGAACUGCCUUUGAUACUGAGGAUCUUGAGUCCGGGAGAGGUGAGUGGAACUGCGAGUGUAGAGGUGAAAUUCGUAGAUAUUCGCAAGAACACCAGUGGCGAAGGCGGCUCACUGGCCCGGUACUGACGCUGAGGCACGAGAGCGUGGGGAGCAAACAGG